rnacentral:rRNA from 1 species
AGUGAACGCUGGCGGUAGGCCUAACACAUGCAAGUCGAACGGCAGCACAGUAAGAGCUUGCUCUUACGGGUGGCGAGUGGCGGACGGGUGAGGAAUACAUCGGAAUCUACUUUUUCGUGGGGGACGACGUAGGGAAACUUACGCUAAUACCGCAUACGACCUACGGGUGAAAGCAGGGGAUCUUCGGACCUUGCGCGAUUGAAUGAGCCGAUGUCGGAUUAGCUAGUUGGCGGGGUAAAGGCCCACCAAGGCGACGAUCCGUAGCUGGUCUGAGAGGAUGAUCAGCCACACUGGAACUGAGACACGGUCCAGACUCCUACGGGAGGCAGCAGUGGGGAAUAUUGGACAAUGGGCGCAAGCCUGAUCCAGCCAUACCGCGUGGGUGAAGAAGGCCUUCGGGUUGUAAAGCCCUUUUGUUGGGAAAGAAAAGCAGCAGGUUAAUACCCCGCUGUUCUGACGGUACCCAAAGAAUAAGCACCGGCUAACUUCGCG